rnacentral:rRNA from 1 species
ACGCUCGACACCUACGAGAGGCAGCAGUGGGGAAUAUUGCACAAUGGGGGAAACCCUGAUGCAGCGACGCCGCGUGGAGGAAGAAGGUCUUCGGAUUGUAAACUCCUGUUGUUGGGGAAAAGAGGAUGGUACCCAACAAGGAAGUGACGGCUAACUACGUGCCAGCAGCCGCGGUAAUCUGAGCGGGCUGGCAAGGC